rnacentral:lncRNA from 1 species
GUCCGUUUUUGACUUCCACUGGUCCGUUUUUGACGUGUCUUCUAGGACUUGCACUGGUUCAUUCUUCAGGGUCCGAUUCAUCCUUCUCUUCUUCUAUAUACCUGAGUACAAUCAAGGUAGAACACUUAGGUAGAAUAUAAUUCUCAUUAACAUUAAAAUGAAUCUCACAAAGUAGCGCGUGGACCUCUUGUUGUAGCUUCUUUGCACGACUACGUGUAACCGGUCCGAUGACUUGGGCUGGUGUCGGUGUAGGUAAAACUUGAGUAGUUGUAGCUUGACUUAGAGCUUUUGACAUCUUGCUUGCUGGCAUGGUCAUAUCAGUAGGCUUCAUGG